rnacentral:rRNA from 1 species
GACGAACCGUCCAAACGUUAUUCGGAAUUACUGGGCUUAAAGGGUGCGUAGGCGGCUUGGCAAGUUGGGUGUGAAAUACCUCGGCUCAACCGAGGAAUAGCGCUCAAAACUGCUGAGCUUGAGGGAGAUAGAGGUGAGCGGAACUUAAGGUGGAGCGGUGAAAUGCGUUGAUAUCUUAAGGAACACCCGUGGCGAAAGCGGCUCACUGGAUCUCUUCUGACGCUCAGGCACGAAAGCCAGGGGAGCGAACGGG